rnacentral:rRNA from 1 species
CUACUGGAAACGGUAGCUAAUACCGCAUAAUGUCGCAAGACCAAAGAGGGGGACCUUCGGGCCUCUUGCCAUCAGAUGUGCCCAGAUGGGAUUAGCUAGUAGGUGGGGUAACGGCUCACCUAGGCGACGAUCCCUAGCUGGUCUGAGAGGAUGACCAGCCACACUGGAACUGAGACACGGUCCAGACUCCUACGGGAGGCAGCAGUGGGGAAUAUUGCACAAUGGGCGCAAGCCUGAUGCAGCCAUGCCGCGUGUAUGAAGAAGGCCUUCGGGUUGUAAAGUACUUUCAGCGGGGAGGAAGGUGUUGCGGUUAAUAACCGCAGCAAUUGACGUUACCCGCAGAAGAAGCACCGGCUAACUCCGUGCCAGCAGCCGCGGUAAUACGGAGGGUGCAAGCGUUAAUCGGAAUUACUGGGCGUAAAGCGCACGCAGGCGGUCUGUCAAGUCGGAUGUGAAAUCCCCGGGCUCAACCUGGGAACUG